CCUGCCUCUAGGCGCUUAUCAGGUGUGGCUGCUAUGGCACAUGUGUGACAGUAAGUGAAAGAGAGGGGGGAGAGGCUAUGUCUAUGCCCAGUGUACUGACCUUUGAAUAGCUGAAUAAUUAAUAGCCUAAAAUU